UACGGAGGAUCCAAGCGUUAUCCGGAAUCAUUGGGCUUAAAGGGUCCGUAGGCGGCUUUGUAUGUCAGUGGUGAAAGCCCAUCGCUCAACGGUGGAACGGCCAUUGAUACUGCAAGACUUGAAUUAUUGGGAAGCAACUAGAAUAUGUAGUGUAGCGGUGAAAUGCUUAGAGAUUACAUGGAAUACCAAUUGCGAAGGCAGGUUGCUGCCAAUACAUUGACGCUGAUGGACGAAAGCGUGGGGAGCGAACAGG
rnacentral:rRNA from 1 species